rnacentral:rRNA from 1 species
GACGAACGCUGGCGGCGCGCUUAACACAUGCAAGUCGAACGGAAAGGCCUGCUUUCCCUUGUGGAUUGCGGGUACUCGCGUGGCGAACGGGUGAGUAACACGUGCGUGAUCUGCCCCCAACUUGGGUAUAAGCCUGGGAUACUGGGUCUAAUUCCCGCUAGGACUGCAGGGUGGUGCCUGUGGUGGAAAACGAUUUUCUAGUGGUUGGGGCUGAGCUGGCGGCCUAUCAGCUGGUGGGUGGGGUAAUGGCUUACCAAGGCGGGGACAGGUAGGCGGCCCGGGAGAGUGGGCGUGCACAGGGAGACGGAGAUACGGCCAAGGCGCCUACGGGAGGCAGCAGUGGGGAAGAAGGCGCGGUGAGCGGAAGCCUGAGGCAGCGACGCCGCGUGAGCGAUGACGGGCGUCGGAUGGUAAACUCCUGGCUGCCGAGAGGAAUCCACCUGGUUGGAGGGGUAGUGACGGUAGUGGUAGAAGAAGCACCGGCUAACUACGUG